rnacentral:rRNA from 1 species
CCUACGGGCGGCAGCAGUGAGGAAUAUUGGUCAAUGGCCGCGAGCCUGAACCAGCCAAGUCGCGUGAGUGAUGACUGCCCUACGGGUUGUAAACUUCUUUUAUAAGGGAAUAAAGUGAGGCACGUGUGCCUUGUUGUCUGUACUUUAUGAAUAAGGAUCGGCUAACUCCGUGCCAGCAGCCGCGGUAAUACGGAGGAUCCGAGCGUUAUCCGGAUUUAUUGGGUUUAAAGGGAGCGUAGGUGGGUUGUUAAGUCAGUUGUGAAAGUUUGCGGCUCAACCGUAAAAUUGCAAUUGAUACUGGCAUUCUUGAGUACAGUUGAGGUAGGCGGAAUUCGUGGUGUAGCGGUGAAAUGCUUAGAUAUCACGAAGAACUCCGAUUGCGAAGGCAGCUUACUAAACUGCCACUGACAUUGAUGCUCGAAAGCGUGGGUAGCAAACAGGAUUAGAUACCCUUGUAGUC